rnacentral:rRNA from 1 species
UACGUAGGGUGCAAGCGUUGUCCGGAAUUAUUGGGCGUAAAGAGCUCGUAGGCGGUUUGUCGCGUCUGCUGUGAAAACCUAGGGCUUAACCCUGGGCCUGCAGUGGGUACGGGCAGACUAGAGUGCGGUAGGGGAGACUGGAAUUCCUGGUGUAGCGGUGAAAUGCGCAGAUAUCAGGAGGAACACCGGUGGCGAAGGCGGGUCUCUGGGCCGUAACUGACGCUGAGGAGCGAAAGCGUGGGGAGCGAACAGG